rnacentral:rRNA from 1 species
UACGUAGGGGGCAAGCGUUGUCCGGAAUCAUUGGGCGUAAAGAGCGCGUAGGCGGCCCAGUAAGUCCGCUCUGAAAGUCAGGGGCUCAACCCCUGAAUGCGGGUGGAUACUGCUGGGCUAGAGUCCGGAAGAGGCGAGUGGAAUUCCUGGUGUAGCGGUGAAAUGCGCAGAUAUCAGGAAGAACACCCGUGGCUAAGGCGGCUCUCUAGUACGGUACUGACGCUGAGACGCGAAAGCGUGGGGAGCGAACAGG